AUUUAAGUAUUUUAUGGGAGCAAGAAAGACAAAAUACUCAUCAAGGAAAUUUUUCAGGAAUUAAAAAACCAAACCCACAGUGAAUGAAGAAUUAGAAGCCAAUAAGUCACACCUCUCCCUCUCUUUUUCUGUUCAUGACCCUUUACAACCACUAUAACUGGGGCUCUGAGCAUUGCUGCGCCACUGGCUGGAGUGAAGGUACUGGAGCUCAGGAAGGGCAGUGAGAAAGGCAGGUGUCCACCGAACUGCAGUAAGAGACUACAAGAUUAUACGGCCUGAAGUCAAAAAGCCACUAAUUGAGGAGAGCAGCUUCAUCCAGAAGAGGAUACUGGUAAGACAGAUGUUGUGACUUAGCUCUGUUUCAACAAGACCGUUCUUUCUUUUACAGUUCUACAAAUACAUGAUAGAAUAAGACUAUAUCCUCUGCUCUUUAUUCAUCUGUUCUUUCCUCUGACUUGGUAUUUAGGCUUCAAUAGAGGAUUUUUUUCAUGAACCACUACUCUUCUUAUAAGGAGAAAAAAAUUUAAAAUUCCUUAAGGCCAAUUUAAAUCUGAGAUCCUUAUGCACAGUUCUUAUUGUUAGAGAAAGGGAAGUGUGGGGUGGAUGUAAGUGCCAUCUUAUAUCUAUACAACAGUGCUUUUAUGUGUGGAUUUAUGGUCUGUCACCAGCUUUUGCUCCAUCAUUCUCACUUUCUACAGCAAAGUUGACUUGCCAGUGUGGAAGUUGAUACUAGCCAUCUGAAUGUGGAAAUCUGUAAUUUCUCACAGGAGAGGGGCUUUCCUCCUCAGCUCUUCUGUUUGCAUACACCUAUAACAGCUCGUGAGGGAGUCGGGGAACUGCAGGGAGCAGACAGCUGAGGGAUAACCACGAAUCAGGUAGUUCAAUCUUGAGCAGACAUGUAUGUACAUGGGUACAGAAGAGAGAAAUCGCAGCGAAACAGUGAAAGCAAAAAAUGGAGCAACCUGCAAAGCCACAAGAAUGCCAAAGACAAAUAAUGAAUCUCUACCAGAUCACAAAAUCAGAGACUGUACAGAGGAAAAAAGAGUCCCAGGCGAGAGGUCCCAGAAAGGAGAAGACAAGAGACAGCCCAAUUCUUGCUGGCUCUGAACAGACAUGAUGAGCUCUCCACCUAGAUUCUGAAUUUCUGCUUUAACUUGACUGCAGAUUUUGAGCUGAUGGGAGUACAGCUUGAUCUGUUCUAGAGUUUAUUCAACUUGAUCAGCAGAUCUUCUGUAUCAGUGGGAACAGGAAAAUAAGAAUGUCUUACAGAAAACUCACCGAUUUCAAUACUUUUAACAACACAGGGUUUUUUAUAAAAAAAUAGCAUCCUUCUGCCCUCACUUCUGUGAACUCCCAAAAUACUUGGAGUACUUGGAGGUGAAAUGCCGCUCUGUGAGUACCAGGCUAGACACCUAAGGCCUGGUAUGCAUUUGUUCUAAAGCUGCUUUUCAUUGCUCUGGCAGAAUAAAGGGAUCUUGAGGUGAACGGUGAGUCCCUAUUGUGCUACCACAGCUGUAAAAAGUCAGCAUGAUAAGUAAGAAAUAGAUCCCUACAGUUUUUCAGACGUGUUUUUAGCCUGUGUGCUGUACUUACAUUAUAAUACGGUCACUUUAAAGAAAAGAUACAUUCCCACCAACUGCAGUCGCAGCAGUCAUCUCUGAUUUUGUAUAGUUAUUUAAACUUUUGGUCUUAUGGAAUUGUGGUCAACAGAUUUAAAUCCAAAACCUGCCAGAAGUCAGAAAAAGCACAGAUUCUACUUAACCCAUGAAAUGCUUUGCCUAAACAACUAGCUUUGCUGAAGAAACUUUAUACUUGUUUAAAAUGGGGGUGUGACAAUUCUACUCUUCAUGACUAUGCAGUAUGUUUGGUUAAGCAAACAAGUUCAUGUUUUAGACUUAGGAAACAAUAACAAUGAGUAAGGAAGAUUAACAUGAACAAUUUUAAAUUAAUUUAUAUGAAUUAAAUGUCAGUCUUUACCUUGUGUUCUGCUAGAUCCAUUACUAAAAUGUUUUCUGUACUUUGACAUAGUUUAGAAGAAAGAUAGAGGAGUUUCUGGACAUGUUCUCUUUCUUAUGUGUGACGUUUUCAAAGUGUUAGCGUAUUAUGGAAAACUAUCCUAAAAUAUGUCUUUGUUUCUUGCUUACUCAACACUGCUUUAAGAACCACACAAAUCAGUACUGGUAUCCCACUGACUGUUUAGAAAACUGGAAUACUCAUUGUUUAUUUAAUUUUAAUUAAUAAAAAAUUGUCCUUCCAGUCAAAUACAACUAAUUCCUUUAAACAUCAGAACUAAUUAUACCAAGACAGGGUAUAUUUCCUGGAACAAGACGCUUGCUCCUCCAUUUUUGCUUUUCUUAAAUACACUGUGAUUUACAUUUUUCCACCACUGGAAAAAUUCAAGAGAUGGGCAGAUAGGGUGUCAAUGUAGUGUCUCAUCCACUUUAAAUCGUGACAAUGUCAAUUACAGAACUUCAGAGGCAAGAAUAAUUUAACCUUAUUAUAUAGUACUCUUUUACAUAUUGGCAGGCCAAUCACAUUUACUAUCUUCCUUAUAUACCCUUUGAGAAGAAAUGUGUAACAUUUUAGGAAUGCUAAAGAUGAUAUGCAUCAAAGACCGGGAAAUUGCCACUCAAGAACAAGACCUUGAAGUUAAAACAGUUCUAUGAAAACACUGGUUCAGUGCUCAGUAGCAUUCAAAAAAAGCAAAUGCUAGGCAUUAUUAGGAAAAGACUUCUGAAAUGUGAUCAUGCAACUGUAGGACUCUCUGGUAUACCCACAACUUUACUACCCAGUGUAGAUAGAUAUGGUGCAUCUCUCCCCUCCCUUGCCUACUACGAGGCACAUAAGACAACAGGAAAAGGACAACAAAGAUUUUUAUGAAGACAGGUAUUCUUUCCUCCAAUAAAAACCCAAGAGGUCAUUAAAAGUUACUAGCAUGAGUUCAAACCAAAAGGAGAUGGUUCUUAACACUGUGUUGUUAAGUUGCAGAAAUCUUUGUUGCAGCAUGGUUAUACUAAAAGCUUACAUGGGUUAAAAAAGUUACUGGACAAAUCAAUGAAAAACAUCAAGGACUAUUUAAUGUAUCAAUGUAUCAAAAAUAUGUUUGGUUAAGUAAAUUCUUGAAUGGCUGCUGGAGGUUGGGAGACCAUAUUGUCAAGUAUCAUGAAACACAUGCCAUUAUCUCACCGAGUUCUGUAUAUAUUCACUACUGUCAGCAACAGGAUAUUGGCCUAAAUGAACCUAUGGUCCAACCAAGUGUGCUCAUUUUUAUGUACUUUACCCAUAAAAUUUUCCAAGAUGAUAGGAUCAAGGCAGGGACCAACACAAUGCAAAGAAGAGGCAUCUACAGGGGCAGACAUAACACUCUACACUACUUUAAGCAGGAUAAAGUACUACAAAAAAAUUAAAGCCUCAUGCCUUAUAGCAUAUCCCAAUCAACCAUGGACAGAUGUUAGAAAGAAAUGUACUCUGUAGAGGAUAUUCCAUAAGGAAUCCUCUACAUAUGGCUCAGAAGAAUCUGGUGCAAGCAACACUUGCUCACUAGUGAAACCAAGCACUAGGCUGCAACAGAAGGACAAUUAAUAACUUCUGAGUUUAAUCAUCCCACAGGCAAUUGAUGGUUACCAGUUUAAUGUCUCACAUUCUUAACUAGAGAUCCUGGCAAAGUAUGAGAGGUUCUUUCCCAUACAUAUUGAAGGUAGAGAGGUGUUAAGAGCCUUCCAUUAAGAACAGGAUCAGAACUGACUUGCAUCCAAAUGAUGCAGUGGUGUUUUACCCAACAGAAGUAAUUAUCCAGAAGCCUCCAGGUCAUCUGAUAAAUUAUGCAGUGAUUAAAGACACAGUGAAACCAACAUUCACAAUCCCAGUGAAAAAGCCACUGGCACAGCAGUGGCACAAAAGACCAAGACAAACAAUUCUGGAGGAAAUUCUGACUGUAAACAAUACUGUUCUUGCUUUACGUUGAUUUCAUCCCUUUGCUAACAAAGUCGGUAGCAUUUCUCUAGAAUCUGAAUCUGUCUUCAUGGUGAGUAAUACUGUGUAUAAUCACACACAGAUCCACUACUAUAAAUACAAAUGUAUAAUAAUUUAUUGCAACUAGUUAUUAACUGUAAGCUUGUAGGUAAGAUGAUCCUGUAAUUGGAAGAUAUUUUCGGCACAUCUGCUUGCAUCAUAUUCACCAGCUAAUCAUUUUAAAGGAUGCCUUUUUAGUUUUACUUUCAGGGAAACUUUUUUGAAGUACAUGAAAUCAGCUUCUAAGUCAGGAGACUACCUGAUUCUAUAGCAAGACAUGUUUCAUACUGAUCCCUAAACUUCCAGAAUUUGAAAGUAGUUAACUUUUUAUUGCCUUGUAUUUAUUGAUCCUAACCGAGAAACCACUGUACAUGGAGGAGUUAGUGACCCACGCAGCAGUUAACCUGAGUAGGGCCAGGCCUGGGCUGUGCUGUGGUGCACAAAUCCCUCGUCCGCAGCAUACACCUAGCUAAUGUAUGGCAGCAGAGGAGCCUGCGGGCAGCUCCCACUUGGUAGUGGUGAUUGGGACACUGGCAUAUCCUUGCCUUUAUCUAGGACUGCAGAAAGGAGUUCUCAUGUCAACAUCCCGUUUGACAGUGGAAAUGAUUAAUAGAGUUGUUUUGUUCUGAGAGAAUGCCAUAAUAGCUCGAAUGACCAAAAUGGGGGAAUCUCUUCUACAGAGAGGGUCUGCCCAGCACGCUGUGGAUGGCUCCAAGGCCCAUUUGGUGCUGCACCACCUGGGGUUCCCACCACUGAAAGGGAUGUAAGAUUAUCUACGCUAUUCUUUCCUUACAGUGUUAGCUCUGACAAACAGCAUUUUAAAUGACAUCUCAGAGAGUCUGGGUGCCUGUCUUACUUGGAUCAUAGCGGACCAGCAUCUCCUGGUGCAAAACAACUGGAAUAGUGAGGAGGCUUUUAAUAAAGAUCUUAAUCUACAGCACACAGCAUUAAAACCAGGAUGUACUAACUGCCUUAAUUAUCUUACGGCUUUCAGGUCACAAAUUUAACAAUGAAUUUGAAACAAUCUUAUUUUAAACUAAAUUUAUUAUCAAUGUACUUGUGAUUAAUUUGCCUAGUUUUAUGUUGAUGUGGUACUGUAAUUAUUUUCACAGUUGUUAACUCUGAGUCAUCUUAAAAGUGCUGUAUGGACUCAAAUACAACUGAAUUCUGCUAAUUAUACCAUACUGUGUCCCUUUCCUUCAAACGCAGGAAGAGGGGUUUAUAAAAAUCUGAAAUGAAGAACAGUGUAUCAGAGAAGUGCUGCUGUGGCUGACAAGUUAUAAAUACUGCUAAUACAGUUUCAAGGUGGUUUGUUUUGGUUUUUUUUUUUUCCCCUCCUAAAAGAAAAACUGUAUGAAUGAUGUAAGUCCACAGUUCUCAAUUAUGAUUCUCUAAAAUUACAUGGAGUGUGAACCAAAAUCAUUCAUUUGAAAAUGUUUUAUGAACAGGAAAAGGUCAAAAAGAUAUGACAGUGAUUCUUCA